rnacentral:tRNA from 1 species
GGAUGUGUAACUUAGUUGGUAGAGUAGCGGUCUCUUAAACCGAAGGUCGUGGGUUCGAAUCCCACCACAUCCACUA